rnacentral:lncRNA from 1 species
GAUGGUGGUGUUCUAGCUAGCAAUUUAGAUGUUAACGAUUAUGAGUUAACUAGGGUUGGAACUCCCACAACGGACGGUUCAGCUGUUAAUAAGAAGUGGGCAACUGAUGAGUUCAUGAGUAGUAGAGGUGGAUUGGUAAAAGGUGACUUAGAUAUGGGAGAUUCAAGUGGAAUUCUUGAUCUAAAGGAUCCUGUAAAUGAUAAGGAUGCUGUUAACAAGCAGUGGGUAGAAAAGAAUUUCCUAAAACCUUCAACUGGCCUUACUCAAGCAACGGCUGACUUAAGAUAUGUAAGAAUACGGCGACAUAUACAUGCAGAAUGGAUUUGGGGUUAUCGUGGUGUUUCAGUUGCAGCAACAAGGUACUACGCUUACUGUCACGAUCAAAUUCCACCUUCAUGGAGAACUGAUCCUAUUAAUAAUAUGGCAGACCUGAACCUUGAAUCAAUAACUAUAAAAACAGACUACCCACGUUUUUCAACUAUUCAAAAUAUACCUAUAGGACUCAUUCUAUGGGCUACCGUUUGGGAAAAGCAAUCUAAUGGAAAAUUUGCUAAGGUUAAGAAAGAGAUUGUUCUUGCCACGGUUGACUUAAGAAGACUGUCACACACCUGGUUUAAUGGAACUUACACAACUACCGGUGGAAGUACAGCUUGCUACGUUUUCAAGGGUAAUAGUAUGU